UUAUAGAGUUAUUGUCACUAUGCCAGCUUCUGUGAGCAUUGAGAGGAGAAUCGUUCUUCGAGCUUUUGGAGCUGAAGUAUGCCUCACAAACCCAGCCAAGGGCUUUAAGGGGGCAUUAGACAAGGCUGACGAGAUACUGAAGAACACACCUAACGGUUACAUGCUACGGCAAUUCGCAAACCCUGCCAAUCCUCAGGUAGCAUCUUUACUGUUGUAACAUUUCUAUUGUUUCAUCAGGUGAUGUUUAAAAGAAGUAACGAAUUCUUUGUUUAAGAUUCAUUACGAAACCACCGGUCCAGAGAUAUGGAAAGACUCGGAAGGGAAAGUUGAUGUACUGGUUGCAGGCAUAGGGACUGGUGGUACAGUAACAGGUGCAGGGAGAUUCCUCAAAGAGAAAAACUCAGAGAUCAAGGUUUGUUCCCCAUUCGAGACCGAAAUUUAGACAAGGAGCCUAUGUCCUUGUUGUUAUAUUCAUAAGAGCAUAUUCUUCUUUUGUCAAAGUAUAGGUAUAUGGGGUAGAACCUGUUGAAAGUGCAGUCUUGAAUGGUGGAAAACCUGGUAAAUUUUCAAGUCACUUUCUUCCUUUUUUAUGUGGUUCGUGCAGUAUCUGGUACUUGACUAUUUCCUUCAUUGCAUUGCCUGUGUGAUGCAUGUCAAAGGCUCUCAUCUGAUCCAAGGAAUUGGUGCUGGUAUCAUCCCUGAUGUUUUGGAUGUUGGCCUCCUUGAUGAAGUUGUCCAGGUAAGUCUCAACAGCAUGUUCAAUAUUUCAAACAGCUCUUGGAAACUCUGCAAUUGGUUCGAUUUCUGAAAAAUUAAUGAACUUUCGUUUUUGUCACAAGGAUAGUACUUGUUUCCCUUCUAAUAAUCCGUUUUCCUUUGCCAUGGGAAGCACCAAUCGUCUGAUCCAUUGAUUAUCCUGUAUGAUGGCCAUGGUAGCUUCCUAGAAACAGUCCAAUGAAACUUUGCACAUCAAUCACCCGAUCCAUUGAUUCUCCUGUAUGAUGACCAUAGUAGUUCCUAGAAACAGUUCAAAGAAACGUCGCAAUCGCUUCAGUUUCUGAAAAAUUAAUGAUUUUUUCAUUUCUGUCAUGAUAGCAGUACCAUUGAUUCUCCUGUAUGUUGACCAUAGUACUUAUUGCUGUUCUAACUUCUUAGGUAUCUAGUGAAGAAGCCAUUCAAACUGCUAAACAGAUAGCCUUGAAAGAAGGUUUACUGGUAUGUUUGUAAUCGUUAAUCAAUUCUUACGACCCUCUAGAUCACUUGUUCUUCUUUUGUCCUUAUUCUCUUGAUCAUAUGAAUAAUAUUGACAGGUUGGUAUAUCAUCUGGUGCUAAUACAGCAGCUGCAAUUAAGUUGGCAAAGAGGCCAGAAAAUGCUGGCAAACUCAUAGUUGUGAGUUACAUUCCCUUCUUCAAGUUUAUCUAUAUCUUAUAGGCUAUAAUAAUUGUUGAUAUUUUUCGGAUUCUUCAUUUUUUUCUAUACUAUUGGUGAUAUAUACUUGAACAUAGGCAUGAAACAUAAGCAGGAGAUAUGACCCAAAAUGCUCAUGUUUUUUUAUUUGUUUAAUUGGUUACAUACGACUAACACUUGAGCUUCUCUGUUUUUAUAUCAGGUAAUUUUUCCCAGUGCGGGUGAGCGUUACCUGUCGUCUGCAAUGUUUGAGUCCCUAAGGCAUGAAGCAGAAAACAUGCCCAUUGAUUGAUGCCAUUGUUAUCCUCAAUCACAAAUUCCUUGUACUUAGCAUUCCACUAUGAACUAUGUCUACCUCUGCCUUUUUCUUUGUAUUUUGUGUUCUAUGUUAUUCGGGUUUAAGAUAAAUAUUAAAUACGGGUACGUGUAUGACAUGUAUAAGCUCAAUUUUUUUUUCGUUUUUCUUUAAUUUCCAUAUUUGAAUAUUUGGAAGGUUGUCAAAGAAUCAUAUUUUUAUACCAUAUUUGAAUAUAUGUGGAUAUCGAAACAUGAAUAUUUCUAGAAAAAUAAAAGAAAAUUUAAUAUGAUUUUUUCUAAUAUAAUAGAAAAAAUGUGGCAUAAAUUAAAAAAAAAUUAAAAAUUAAACAAGGUAAGGUGAUUUGUAGUUGCAGGGUUGCUCAGAGGGUUGAAAGACAUGGGCGGAAUGGGAUUGGUAGCGUUAAACGAUGUAGAAUUCUGUGUUGUGGGGGCAUUGAGGAAACUAGCGAAACGAGAAACAAAUGGAUCAGUAAAGGUUGGAACAAUAGGAAGCGAUUAUGAACUCUUUUUUAGCAGGUUUUGAUAAUAACCAAAAUAUGGAAAUCCGAGGAUAAGGAGAAUAAAAACUCAAAGAAGAAGCCUAUAAGGUGUCCGUUGAGGAGGAUGUUAACACUGCAAAGGUGAAUAACCUGGAGCAACUUCUCAUGACAUUUUCUGUUUGGCAGAAGGCAGACUUUUGCAUCCAUGGCAAGAAAAUAUAAAGGGAGAAAAUCAGAUGUUAUGUUAUUUCGAUUCUUUAAUUUUUUCCGAAGUAUUCACGUUUGAUAUAUUUGGAUAUCAGUAUGAUUGUAUUAGGAUAUAUAUAAUCCUAUGAAAAAUUUUAGGCUUGCUGGUUAUAUUAGGUAAGUUCAUACGGUAUAUUUGUGUUAAAAUUUUAUGUAUUUAAAAUUAUAGUUGUAAAUAUGUUUAAUUGAAAUUCUGAUCGUUUACACUUCGAUAUGAAGAGGUGAGGUAAGAGAUUAAAUUGAACAAAAUUGAAGAUAGUAUAAUUUAAUAAAUUAAGGAAUUGACUUUGAAUUGGAUUGAAAUAAUUUAUGUUAUGUGAUAAAGUGAUAAUUCGAUAAAAAUAAGUUAAAUUGAUUCGAUUUAAAUUGGUUGUAUGUGAAAAGAACUGAAUUGAACAGAUUAAAAAAAUAUAUCAAAUAUUAUUUGAAAUGUGGAAUUAUACAAAUGUGGUGAUGAGCUAUGAUAUAUGUAUGAAAUUCUUGAUUUGAUUGAUUGAUAGUAAAUUGAGUAAUGAAUACCCUAUUAAGUUCGGGCAGAGACAUAUAUAGUUGGCAUGUCAUAAGAUAGGAAGAGUUCAGGGUUACUUCGACGACGAGUCGAUGAGGCACUGGGUGCCAAUUUGCUUCGAUUUAACUGAUGAGACACUGGGUGUCAAACCUAUUUAUAGUGCUGGACGCAACUAUUUGCUUCAAGUUUAUCCGAUGAGGAACUGGGUGCCAAACUGAUGUGUUGGUUGGAUUGUGUAUUUGUUCGAGUCCGAGUCGUGUUAAUAGGGAGAUAAAAGAUAAAAAAAAAUGAUGAUAAUGAAUAAGCAUUUGAAAUCCAUGAAAUCAUAAAAUUGAAUGUGAAAUGUGGUAUUCGUUAUUGAGAUGGCAAAUGGAUAAGAAAUGGAAGAAAAAUGCGAAAUGAAAUGUUUAUUUGUGACAUGUGAUGAUAUGAUGAUCAGAUGAUACAUAUACAUAUUGAUAAUAGGUUAUAUAAGACCAGGGAGCUAAUAUGAAAACAUGAUAAAUUGAUGAAUGUGAUUCAAAAUUAGUAUUAUGAAAUAAAGUAGUGAUUGAUAUUUAAUUGACAUUCAAUAUAUAUUUGGUAUAAAGAUGGAUUUCUAUGUUUUGAAUUGAGAUUUCAAAUAAUGAAAUGAAAAUCAAUGUUUGGCAUUAAUUUGAAAUGAGAUAUAUUGUAGAUAAAUAGAUUGUAUGAAAAGUUAAGAUAGUGAAUUGAUUUAAAUGAUAAUUCUUCUGUGAAUAGUAAUGAAAUGUUGAAUAAGUGAAUUGAAUAUUAUAUGAUUGAGUUACUAUAUGGUUCGAUAAUUGUCGAACUCACCUUUUUUAUAUGUAAUUUGCCAUGAUAGACAAACUUUAUCAAGCUAAGUAGCAAGUAGUGUAUAAUUAAAACUUGAGGUAAGUUACUUGGUUUUAAUACAUGUGAACUUACUAAGCAAUUGUAAUGCUUACUCCCUUAUUUCCUUUUUCCCUGUAAUGUCAACUUGUGGAACGUGUUAGGUGGAUCGUCGAGAAGCUCACACUAUCCUGGUAUUGAUUCAGUAGUCUUUCUAUCGUUUAAAACUCAAUUCUGUGGCAUGUAUAUAGGUGAAUCAUUUUUGGUUAUUCUUGAAUGUUAAUAUUUUGGUUCUUGAUUGAGGUUUGUGUUUUAAAUGGUUAUAUGAUAUGUACAUAGGCUAUUUUGGAUUGAUGGUUUAAAGUUAUAAGUUGAAGUUGUAAUUUGUUAUAAUGGUUGCCAUGCAUAAGAAUGAAUUUAAUGAUUACCAUGGUAUGUAUGAAGAGUAAAUGAUGAUUGCAUGUCUGGUUGAUGGGUGUCGAAUCCACCAAUAUAAACCUACGCCUUAGUUUGCAAAUUAUGCAGUAUAGGGAGUAGGGUCGAUCCCUCAGAGACUGGUUUACUAUAAACUGUUGCUCGCUUGACCAGAUUUAUGUCGGGGCAGCUGUCGUGCCCAAGGCGUUCGGGGGGAUAAAAAUUUGAAAAUCUGAAAUUAACAGAAAAAUAACGUCAAAAGUAAAAGUUGAAAACAGAAUAAUAAAAACCGUGAAAUAAAUAUUAAGGAAAAUUAAUUAGAAUGAGCUCAGCUUUAGACACGAAUAGCUCAGCUUUAGACACGAAUUUUCCUCGUCUUUAAACCGAUCCUCGAAAUUGGACGAACUCCUCUUUUCCAAUAAGCUAGUUAUAGCUACCAAGGACGCCUCGGACACCAACUCUUCCUUGUGUAAAUUAGUUAUGGAACGUUCAAUAACUAAUUCUUACCGAUCGAACAACCACGAAACGUUCNNNNNNNNNNNNNNNNNNNNNNNNNNNNNNNNNNNNNNNNNNNNNNNNNNNNNNNNNNNNNNNNNNNNNNNNNNNNNNNNNNNNNNNNNNNNNNNNNNNNGUGGGACAUUUAAAUCCGGUUACUACUUCCCUUGACGGAACCAAACAACAAUCUCCACUUGGCACACCAAUGUGUUCACAGAAAACCAAUUAGAAACGUUCCUUUCGGAAUUCCAACUGUACGUCUAACCACACUAAAUCAAACGACGUCUUUUUUGACUUAGUGUUGAUCUGACUUUAUGAGUUGACAAAAUCAUACUCUUAAUCUGGAGAAGUAAUAAGUACUGAAAUUUUAGGAGUUAAAUGGCUCGGGUUCGUAACUCACGGAUUUUGACGAGGCUAAUUUCGGCCUAAAGCUGAAAAUGGAUUUAGUUGGCUAAGGUUUGGGACAUGUUGGUGUUUGAUAAAUUAAAUAAGGUAGAAAUGGUGAAAAGAUGGGUGAUGUGAUUAGUAUGGGGGUUGGAAUAUAUUAAAGUGGGGUGGUUGACUAUUUGGAAAAAAAUUGAAAAAGGAAUUGCAAAUGGCUUGAUUUGGUGAUUAGCUACUGGAAAUUAAAAAUUGAAGGAAAGGAAACUAAAGAAACAACAAUGCUAUGUGAGAAAAGAGAGAAUGUAUUGAAAGACAACAGCUAAAUGUUUUUUGAUUGAUGAAUUGAUGAACAAUACAUGCUCUAUUUAUACUAGAGGAUUUACUAAUUUAGGAGCCAACUAGUCUAGAAAAUCAAGGAAAAAUAAAAAUAAAAAUAUUCCAUGACAAAAAAUAUCCCAAAAUAAUCUCCCCCACAAAGUCAACAAAAUUUUCAGCUAAUUAAUAUUGGAAAAAUUCUACUUUGGCCCUCCUUCUUUGCUUCUUUCUUCAAUUUGCCCCAAUUGUUUCCUUUUUCUUCUAUUUAGCCCCAAAUUACAUUCCUGCACAAAAUUCAAUAAAUAUGACAAAAUUAGUGGUGCAUUCUCAUAAAUUAACCAAAUUAAUUACAUAAAAUAUAUAACUUUAGCAUUUAAUCACUGGUGUUGGUAUGCUUGAUUUUGGAUCAUGAAUUAGUUGAGAAAUGGUAAUCUUGGGUGAAAUGUAUGGUACAUGUAUAUUUGAUAGUUGUAGUAUAUGCAUUCAUUAAAUUAAAUUGUUUCAAUGAUAUGGUAAGUUUUGAGUAUGUACAAAAGGUAAAUUGUACUACGAUGAUACAUGCUUGUGUGUAUAAUUGAGUUUAAGUUUUGAAUUUGGUUGUGAUGGUGCCAAAUGACAUAAUAGUUAGUAUUAGAAUUAUGGUACCUAAUUGCAUACUUAGUUAUUAAUUAUAAUAGGUAAGAUAAUUCGUAGAUCAUGGUUGAAUCAUGACAUGUUUGUAAUGGAUUGAGUGAGUUUUAUGCACGUCAUAUGUGUACCUAUUUGUACCUAUGAAUUAAUAUAUAGGUUUGGGCAUGAAUUGAACUUUCAAACUUGAUAUUUUUGACUAUCUGGAUAAAAGUAUCGAUACCAGGGGCCAAUGUAUCGAUACUUAACCAAAUGAACAGUGUUUUCAAAUUACAGAAUGACAAAAUGGUAUCAAUAUCAAUUUUAGUAUAUCGAUACCUAUCACAAAAAUAUCGAUACUUAUUUUUUUGGUAUCGAUACUUAGUUCAAAGUUUUGAAAAAAAUUUACAGUUUGGUCAUUUUUCAUGCCCGAAUCUAAUCUAUUGUAUUUUAAAGCUCAAUUUAGUUCCGUUUUCACUUUUUUAAUAAUUAAUGUGUGUAUUUAUAUGAUAAUUCAAUAUUUUGAUUUACAUGUGAUUGUUUCGAAUUUAUUUGUAACAUUUCGUAGCUCGGGUCCGGCAAUCAAAUCGGUUAUGAGAUGUUACACCACUAUAACGUUUAAAUCGUUAUUUAUGCUAUCAAUAUACUCAUGUGUCAAAUGCGGAUAAUCAAGAAAAAUAAAAAGGAAAAUGUUUUCCACAUCAGUAGGCAAGUGCAUACACUGUUGACUAGAACCAUGGAAACACAAUACAUUAUUUUAAGAAUGUAACUAGAAAUACUAUUCUUUGUAACCUAGUGAACAGGGGCCACUUUAAUGAGUUAUCGGUGAAGUGGCCACUUUACAUGUUCUUAUAUGUUAUCUUCUUUUAUUUUUUUCUUGUUCAUCACUGAUAACUCAUUAACCAUGUAAAGUGGCCACUUCACUGAGAACAUGUUCAUCUUCUUUUAUUUUUGUCUUCUUGUUUAUUGUUGGAAUAUCCAAAGGCAUCCCCACCAACUAUUGAUUUGUUCUUUGAUUCUUGUACAUUCUUGGGUGUUUUCUAUUUCCUUUUUCUCAUUACAUGUUUGACUGAUUCUUCUGUUUCCACGGCUUGGGGAACAAGUAUUUCUUGCCUAUUCCUCUGUUAUCUAAGCUGGUUGAUGCCCUUUAUAAACAGUUCAGAAGCUUGCGUUUUGCAAUAAGAAAACCUUGUUUUCCUUUGUUGAAGUGCGGAAAUUCUGAGAAUCCUCCAUGGAGGACAAAUAUGCAAUCAAGAAAGAUGUUACUGAAGUAAUGUUUCUUUUCUCAAUCAUUUAAGUGUUGUUGAUAUUGCCAUUAGUCUUCUGCAACUUGUUUUGAUCUCAUCGUGGCUUAUGCAGUUAAUAGGUAACACGCCUAUGGUAUAUCUGAACAAUAUCGUCGAUGGUUGCGGAGCUCGAAUUGCUGCCAAGCUUGAGCUGAUGGAACCUUGCUCCAGUGUUAAAGACAGGCAUAAAUUUCAUUUACAUUUGAUUUUUACAUUCUUCACAGCAUCUUGCAAACUGUUACCUGCAGAAUAAUGCCUUUGUUCAUUGUUUAUCGAUCCCCAGGAUUGCAUACAGUAUGAUUAAAGAUGCAGAAGAUAAGGGCUUGAUUACGCCCGGGAAGGUAUGGUGCCGUAUUCGAAGAUGCUUUGCUCAGUUUAGCUUCCCAGUUAAUGCAUAUGAAGUGGUUGUUUGAUAACCUAACCAGGAUGAAAUAUAGACCCAAGAACAGUUAAAACUUCAGAUUGUUUUGGAAGACUAUCGUAAUAUCUUCUGCAGUUUUCAAUUGACUUUUGAUCAAAUGAGGGCUAUUUUCAACAUGGAAUGGUCCAGACACGGAACAUUUAAGCUAACAAAUUUCCCGUUUCUUCUGCAUAUAUUGAAAUAAUAUCGGCUAUAGAGUGUUCUCAUCGACACUACCAGUGGUAAUACCGGCAUUGCAAUGGCUUUCACUGGGGCAGCCAGCCAGGGGUUAUAAAGUUAUUGUCACAAUGCCAGCUUAUAUGUUUUAUGUUUCAUUUAUAUUAUCUAAUCACAUAAUAUUUUAUUUUAUUUUAUCUUAUCUAAUCACUUAAUUAAUAUUUAUAAUAAAUUAAUAUUUAUUUAAAUAGUACAAUUAGUGUAAACUUGACAUUAGAAACUAAUUGUUUAUAAAUUAUUCAUUAAGAAACGCAACUCAUAACUAUUCUUUGUAAUCUACUUAAAUAAAAACAAUUAAAUAACAAAAUAUAAUAAUUGUAAUUGUUAAAAUAUACUAUUAGUCCUUUUACUUUUUACAAAUUUAAAAUUUAACUAUUAUACUUUUACUUUUAAAAAUUUAAUCUUUUUAUUUUUCAGAUUUUAAAAUGUAGAUUCAAUUUUAGUAUGGUUAAAUUUAUUCAUUAAAUUUGUUGGUGCAACAUUUUGAAAAAAAAAAUUGUAUUCAUUAAGUAAUUUAAAAAAAUUAACGUUGUAAUAAAGCUACAUUUAACAAAAUAAUUUUAAAAGUAUUAAUAAUUAGACUUAAUUUUAAAAUUUAAAGAAUAAAGUAAUUAAAAUUUUUAAAAUAAAAAUAUAAAAAUUAAAUUCUAAAUUUACCAAAAAUAUGGAAUAUUUUAACAUAAUAUAAUAUACAUUUACAGUCUGCUAAGCUUGACUUUAGAAUUUGACCAUGGUAAAGUAAAGCUGGAAUAUAAGCAAAAGUUGCUUACUUAAGUGUGAUGGGAGUUGGUGUAAUAUCAAUGCAUAAUUGUUCUUCUUGUUCCUUGUUGAAACAUCCAAAGGCUUAACCGCUGUUUUACUUGUUUUUACGGGGAAUAUAGCCUUAUUAUUAUUAUUAUUAUUAUUGAAAUGGGUCAAGUAAAAAAUUAAUUAUCGGAAUGACCCUAUUUCCCCGAAACUGUAUACACGUCAACGCAUUGUUAGGUGACGAAGUAGAAAAACGCUUUCUUAAGGAAGCGUUUUCCCCGUGCCUCCUGCUAGGAUUAGGGUUUAGGGUUUAGGGUUAAGGUUUUGAGGGUUUUAGGUUUAGGUUUUUAAAGAAAAAAUUAAAUAAAUAAGGGAUUAGGGUUCAGAGUUUCUUAAUUAAAUUAAUUAUAAAAUUUUCAAAAUUAGAUGUUUUGUGUUUAUGGUUUUUUUUAAAAUCAAUUAAAUUAGGGUUUAGAGUUACUUGAGUAAAUUAAUUAAAAAAAUUUAAAAAAUUAGAUUAGGGUUUAGUGUUAAGAGUUUUUAAGGAAAAAUCAAAUAAAUUAAGGUUUAGGGUUACUUGAGUAAAUUAAUUAUAAAUUUUAAAAAAAUAGCUUAGGGUUUAGUGUUUAGGGGUUUUAAGGAAAAACUCAAAUAAAUUAGGGUUUGGGGUUUAGAGUUACUUAAUUAAAUUAUUUGUUAAUUUAAAAAAGCUCCCAUGUAGACGCUCUUUUGCUACAAUAGCUCCUUAAAAAAUAAUUUCGAGAAGACGUUUCUGAGCAAAUAGUGUCAAAAACGCUUUAAGCAGGAUGCAUUAUCAGCAAAAGUACUGAAAGAAGCUCCCACGUGGACGAGCUUUUGCUACAGUAGCUCCUGAAAAAAUAAUUUCGAGUAGACGUUUCUAAGCAAAUAGUGUUAAAAACGCUUUAAGUAGGAUGCAUUGUCAGCAAAAGUACUGAAAGAAGCUCCCACGUGGACGCGCUUUUGCUACAGUAGCUCUUGAAAAAAAAAUUUAAGUAGACGUUUCUGAGCAAAUAGUGUCAAAAACGCUUUAAGCAGGAUACUUUGUCAGCAAAAGUAUUGAAAGAAGCUCUCACGUGGACGCGCUUUUGCUACAGUAGCUUCUGUUUGGCCUGAGGCUAUAAAUGAGGCAAAUUUUUUUCUCAGAUUGCAUAAGUUACAGGAAAAAAAAUUUAGAGAGGCUAAGAAGGAUAGAAAUUGAAUAUGAGUGAACGUAUUAGUGUUGUUAUUUACUAUGAUAGUGAGGUUCGUCACACCGAGAAUGGUGUUAUUUUUUUAUCAGAGAAUACAGUGAGACUGGUCUUUAACCAGAACAUAGAUUUGACAGAACUUCGUAAAAGAAUUAGGCGUAAAAUAUUUGGAACGACGUCAAUAAAAGUUCUAUCUAUUACGUAUCGGUUUUGUUCUUCUAUUGAUCCAGUGACAUACGACUCGUUCGACAUAAAAAGUGCUCGUAGCUUGGAGGUAAUGGUGCAGACUUAUCUCGCUAGUGGAGCACCCUAUAUUGAGUUAUAUGUACAAUUUACAUCGCCAAAUGAUGCACUUGCGACUGCUGUUCGAGAGGUAUACACGACCCCUGCUCGACAGUCGGUUAGUGGGUUAAAAACACGGAACAACCCAUGUUUGGUAGCGGUAUGAAAUACGUAACCCCUGCACGACACUCUGUUAGUGGAUGAGACAUGCACCUCGGUGGGUCGAUGUUUGAUGUUGGAAAUACGUACUGGGGAACGGUAUCAACUUCUAGUGGUUGGCAAUUUACAUUCAAUUGGGGACGUUAUGAAACGCCCAGAAGAAGGGAUGAUGUACUCCCUAUGAAAUCCACUGGUGAGGGGACCUCGUACGUUGCAGAUAAUGGUGGGUUAUAAGAUGACUCCGAUGUGGAUCCACCUCGAGAGCUAGGUCCCGAUGGUGCAGAAGUUGCAUUAUUUUCAGAACCGGAGCCUAUUCCAAUCGAACCUGAAGAUGUUGAAGGGGGUUUAGAUGAAGAAGAAGAUCCACGAUUCAGGGCAUACUCACCUCUAGCCUACAUGCAUAAUGUCGAUCUAUCUGUAGAUGAUGUGUUAGAGUUUCCAGAUCUACCACAUAGGUUACGUGAUCGUACAAGUUCGCUACUGGAUUAAGGUGAAUUUGAAGUUGGUAAUAAGUUUUCCAACAAGAAUAGUUUUAUUGGUGCAUUGAAACAACAUAGCAUCAAUAACGGCGUUAACUACCUCGUGGUUAAAUCUAAAGCUGAUAAGUUUGAUGCGAAGUGUGCAGUGCAAGAUGGUACAUGUUCAUGGAAAAUCUACGCCUCGUUGAGGAAAAUGACAGGGUUGUGGGAGAUAAAAAAGUACACAGGUCCACAUAUAUGUGAUGAAUGUAUAGUAUUUAGGGUUUCUGAAUAAUACUGUUAUUAUGUAAUGUUGCAUUAUUUAAUGUACUCCGUUGAUAGGUAUUUCACAAGAUCAUCCAAGAUGGAUUCAGCUAUGUUAGCUAGCUUGAUACUACCCACGGUGAAGGUAGAUCCCAAGACUUCAGUGCCGGUCUUAAUUGCCAAUAUUCGUAGCCAAAUGGGAUACACGCCCUCUUACCGCAAGGCUUGAAUAGUUAAACAGAAGGCGUUGGAAAAGUUGUAUAGUGGGUGAGACGCUUCAUAUAAUGAAAUAUGGCUGUGGUGUCAAGUGCUAGAGAAAUACGUCCCAGGUUGCAUAACAAACCUUGAAACGGAACAUGCGUAUUACAACGGCCGGUUGUUACGUGGAUGCCAAGUGUUCAAACGCCUGUUUUGGACCUUUAAGCAAUACCGAGACGCAUUUUCAUACUGCAAGCCAUUAGUAGAAAUUGACGGUACCUUUAUGUUUGGUAGAUAUACCCAUCAGCUAUUGUUAGCAGUGGCAUAGGAUGGCAGUGAGAGAAUUCUUCCAAUUGCGUUUGCAAUAACACCGGGGGAGUCAGCUGAUGACUGAGAUUUCUUUUUAUCUAGGUUAAGGAGGCAUGUGUGCCCCCAACCUGAUAUCUGUGUUAUUUCAGAUCGGGGCACCAGAAUACUAGUUGCAAUUGAUCAACAUGGAAGCUUACGGCAGUGCAUUCACCAUCAGUAUUGCCUAAAGCACGUUGCUUCCAACUACUACAGGUAAUAUCCAUCUAAGAGUGAAUGACGACAAGUGACCAACAUGGGUAUUUAGUCUCUAUUAGUGUAAUUUUGUUUGUCAUUUUGAAUUUAUUCUAAAUGAAAGAGUGGUACGUAAUAUUCGCUAUGAACUUAUAUUAGCAGGGUAUGAAAUAAAUAAAAACUGUUUUCAUGAGAUGUUGGCAGUUUUACGUUUAAUUAACGGCGAAGGUACAGGCUACCUUUGUAACAUACCUUUCGAACAGUGGGCACAAGCAUACGACGGUGGCCUACAAUAUGGUCAUAUGACCUCAAACCUGGCUGAAUGCAUAAAUUCUGUUCUAAAAGGAACGCGCCAUCUACCGAUAACAUCGGUUGUGCGAGAGAUAUUUUCGUUUAGCGGUGCUAUUUCCAAAGCGAGCAGCGAGUUAUGCAGGCCAGAUGUAGGGAGGUCAUGUAUGGUGCAGUAAGGUAGUGCAAGAAAUUAACAAGGCCAAAGCACGGGUGAACAUCAUGCACACAGUGUGUCACGAUUGAGACAACUUAUGGUUUCGCAUGACAGAGUUUGACAGACCGCACUAAGAUGUUAUUGGCGGGCAAUAUCGUAUACACUUGCGAAAUAGGACUUGCGACUGUGGGAUGUUUGACGCACUUCGUUAUCCAUGUGUUCAUGUAAUUGCAGCUUGUCAGAAUCUCCGUCUAGAUUCGAUGAGCUAUGUCGACGAAGUUUACAAAUUAGAAAACAUGUACAACAUCUAGAGACACAUAUUCCCACCGGUCCCAGAUGAACGUAAGUGGUCAUCUGUAUCGCUUGCUCCCUUUAAGCUGUUACCAGAUAGAGAAUUGCGUCGCAAACUAAAGGGUCAACCUUGCUCGACUAGAAUACGUAACAAUAUGGAUAUCUGAGAAAUAGCCAGUCAACAGAAGUUGUGCGAAUGGUGUAGGAACCCGGGCCAUACAAGCCGAUUAUGCCCAAAUCGCAAUAGUUGAACGUUAUGGUAAAAAACUUUGUAUUAUUUAUAUUUUUAAAUCAAAUAGUAUAAAAAUAUUCAGAAUACUGACUUAUUUAAAAGAAAAUCUAUUUUAUUAAAAAUAUUAAAGUAAAUUACAAUUACUUUAUUCAAAACAACGUUUUAUUCAUUAAAUGAAAUAAUAUAGAAAUAUUCAAAAUAUUGUGUUAUCUAAAAAAAAUUCUAUUAUAUUAAAAUGUAAAAGUAAAUUUCUAUUUUAUUACAUGAAAUAAUAUAGAAGAAUUUCUAUUUUAUUACGUCAAAUAAUAUCAAAAUGUUUGUACAAAUAUAUUAAAAUAAAAAAUAAUCUCCGUGCCAACUGGAUUCAGUGCCACAUGGCGGCCGUCGACGGUUAAGCGCUGGAUUCCUCCUUUGUCCAGCUUCUGGCGGGGGUUGUGGUUACUCUAGAGGGGAUUUUGGUUCCUCUAGUAGGGGAUCUGGUUAUCGGUGUUGGGACGAUGAGCCACCUUGAUAGAAUAGUGACUGUGGAGGUAUUUGCAUCACCAACGACGAAGCUGCUUGAAACUCAUACGGUGAUGGGGAUUGGUAAAAAGAAGAGCUCCUCGAUGGCCCCUCCUGUGAUCCCUCGUACGACGGUGGCCUAUACAUCGGCGGUCCACUCGGCAUAAUCAAAAAUAGAGAUGAACAGGGCCAUGAACUCCAACCUACGAUAUGACUAGAAACAGGAAACAUAUAAGGGUUUGGAUACAUAAAAGGGCUAGGAUACGUACCUGACAUCAUCUGAAAAGGCUGUGCUGUGGGUGUCGUCGGUUGAAGUGUUGGGCCUGGUGACUGUGUGGGUGCUGUUGCUGGGCCUGGUGAUGGGCCGGGUGAUUGUGAUGGGCCUGCGUCGUCAUUUCUUCUUCUUGGAUUUAAAGGGCCACGUCGUUCCCUUUGGAUACGCAAUUGUCGCUGUCUCUCCUCUGCCGAUAGUAAAUAUGGCUUGCCAUGGAUCCUAAACCAUGGCAUGUAUUUUGGCACGCACGCUAACUCUGAAACGAUGAUCGGUUCUUGAGUAGGUAUAUAAUCAUACUGAUCUUCCCACAUUUGGAUGUAGUGUGACCAGAAUCUCGGUCAAUCCAUAUGCAAUUGCCGUAGGUUGAUUUUGUGAUGAUCAUCCAACACCUCAGGUACUACAGGAAUCGGUUGUCGAAAUCCAAAUUACCGUAAUACUUUGUUUGACUGGUGCAUCUCCACGGUCGUAAAGUUGACCAAUGAGACUUUCACAUGCCAAGUGUUUGGAUUUUGGAAGUACUCAUCCGAAAUUACUGCCCGAAUUGCCGGAUCCUCGUAUGGUGUCCAUUGAAACUAUAUGAACAUGAUAAAAAUAUUAGUUACAUACAUAAUACAUAAUACUAAAUACUAAAUACCAAUCGACUAUCUCAUGAUGGAAAUGUUUAUUUUAUUUAAUACUUACUUGUGCUUCCGACCGUUGGUCUAAUAGAAGCCGUAUAUCUUUAAGAGAGGUAGGUAAUCGAGCAUAACUUGCCGAAUGGUUCCACCUGAUUAAAUAAAUUUUUAGCAUACAAUUAUAUUUUAAAUCUACGUAAUAAUUGUAAAAUCUAAUAUAAAAUUUACCUCGCUAUGAGUGAGAAUGUAUACGGGUGGUCCACUCGAGGGCGUAAAAAUAGAAAGCGAAACCGUACCCAUGACUGCAAUAGUGAUAGGCUACCUCCGAUUUUUGUUUUAUUCGGUUGUGUCGCCCCGCACAUCUCUCGGUACAAUGUUGCCAACACGGCAGACCCUCAACUAAAUUCACCAGCUGCUCUAAAAUCAACGAGUUUCAGCAGUCAUCUCAGAUGUACAAGGUUCCGUGACAAGUCUGGCAUCAGAUAACCUCUAAUUAUUUGAAGAAUGUAUGCCUGAGCUUAUCGAAUUCUUUCUAGUUCGGUAGAACCAUCAUCCGCUUUGGGAAUGUGUCUCGUAACCAACCCAUCUCGAUUUGACCUCCGUUAAUAUUAUCCAGAAUAGCGUUCAAAAGCUCAUAGCAUACCGCUCCCCAAUCACCAGAUUGAACAGACCCGGUGACUGCGUACCCGUCUACCGGCAAUCUCAAUUCAAAUUUACGUCUUCUAAAGUGAUAGUACACUCUCUACAUGGAAGAUGGAAUGUGUGCAUCUCGGGUCUCCACCUCUCAAUCAACGCACUGAUGAGUUUCGAGUCCAACUUGCAUCCCCGGCCUAACGUCGCUACGUGCCAAAAACUCGUUUCCCGCAACUAAUUCUCUACCAACGGUGAUUGAGGACCAUGCAUAUUACGAAUAUAACAUUGCAAUAUCCGAUCUACAGUCUUUUAUAAGAAAUAAUAAAAUAAAAAUUAUUUAAAAUUGCAUAAAUCAAAAAAAUCUUAAAUAAUAUCUAAAUAUUAAAUUUAACAUUUACCAUUUUCAUUUGUUCGAUGAAUAUGUACUUGUUAUUGAGACAAAUUAAUUCUUCGGUCAUUGCUAACACGAUCAAAUUUUUAUGAUUUAAAAAAAAUUCAAAAAAAUAAAAUUAAAGCUUUUUUAAAAAUAAUUAAAAAAUUAAAACUUUUUUAAGAGGAAUUUGAGAGAAUAUUGGAGAGAAAUUAAAAGAAAGGAUUUAGGUGUGAAAAAAAUGAAAGGAGGGUUUAUAGUUUUUUUGUACCGUUGGGGGUCACCAACAAUCAAAAAAGUAGCCGUUGCUACUGUUCACACGCGGCAAAACGCGUUUUCCUACCUCGUCACUUGACAACACGCUAACGUGGAUACGUUUUCGGGAAAUUAGACCAUUCUGAUAAUUAAUUUUUUACCGGACUCAUUUCAAUAAUUAAAAAAAAAAGCUUUUAUUGGUAUUUUGUCACCGUUUUUACUAUAUACUAUUUGCUUUUAUUAAAAAGUUGUCUUUUUCUUUAUUGUUGAAAUAUCCAAAGCUUCACUCUCCUCCACCCACCAUUUAUUUUGAUAUUUGAUUCUUUGACAUUUUUGGGUGUUUUUUUAUUUUCUGUUUUCCGUUACCUGUUUGAUUGAAGAACUUGGGAAACAAAUAUUUCUUGUUAUCUCAUCUGGUUGUUUAUGCCCUUUAUAAAUAAUUUCAGAAGCUUGGAUUUUGCACUAAGAACCACUUGUUGUUUUCCUUUUGUUAAAUUGCUGGGUCUUUUUGAUUAAAUUGAGUAAAUUCAGUGGGAAUCGGUCAUGGAGGGCAAAUGUGCAAUCAAGAAAGAUGUUACUGAAGUAAUGUUUCUUCUUCUCAGUCAUUUAAUACUGUUGGUGUUUUAAGCCAUUAAUGUACUGCAAACUUGUUUUUAAUCUCCUUGUGGGUUUAUGCAGUUAAUAGGUAAUACCCCUAUGGUAUAUCUGAACCAUAUCGUCGAUGGCUGCGGUGCUCGAAUUGCUGCCAAGCUCGAGCUGAUGGAACCUUGCUCCAGUGUUAAGGACAGGCAUAUGCUCUUUUUUUUCAUUUGCAUUUUUGAUUUUGUACAUUGUUCACAGCAUCUUGGAAAAGUGUUGCCUGCAAAUCAACACCUUUGGUCAUUGUUUUAUCUAUGUGCAGGAUUGCAGACAGUAUGAUUAAAGAUGCAGAAGAUAAGGGCUUGAUUACACCAGGGAAGGUAUGGUUCCAUCUUUCGGAUUAAUGCAUAUCAAGUGAUUGUUUGAUAACCUAACCAGGAAGAAAUAUAGAUCCUAUGAUCUAAUAUAGUAUGGUCUAUUUUUCUGUUUUGCUUGGUAUGGUACCUUAUUCGGUUUAGCUUUCGGGUUAAUGCGUAUGAAGUGAUGAUAACCUAACCGGGAAGGAAUUGUAGAUCUGAGAAUACUUAAAUUUUAGAUUGUUUCGUAAGAUUUUGUUAUCAUGAUAUCUUCUGCAGUUUUGCUUCAGUUGACUUUUGAUCCAAUGAGGGGUAUUUAAGCUAACAAAUUUCUCAUUUGUUCUGCUUAUGUUGAAAUAAUAUUGGUUAAACAGUGUCCUUAUCGGGCCUACCGGUGGUAAUACCGGCAUUGGAUUGGCUUUCAUUGGAGCAGCUAGGGGUUAUAGAGUUAUUGUCACGAUGCCAGCUUCUAUGAGCAUUGAGAGGAGAACCGUUCUUCGAGCUUUUGGAGCUGAAGUAUGCCUCACAAACCCAGCCAAGGACUUUAAGGGGGUAUUAGACAAGGCUGACGAGAUACUGAAGAACACACCUAACGGUUACAUGCUACAGCAAUUCGCAAACCCUGCCAAUCCUCAGGUAGCAUCUUUACUGUUGUAACAUUUCUACUAUUUCAUCAGGUGAUGUUUAAAAGAAGUAACGAAUUCUUUGUUUAAGAUUCAUUACGAAACCACCGGUCCA
rnacentral:lncRNA from 1 species